rnacentral:rRNA from 1 species
UACGGGGGGAGCAAGCGUUGUUCGGAUUUACUGGGCGUAAAGGGCGCGUAGGCGGUCCUACAAGUCCCGCGUGAAAGCCCCCGGCUCAACUGGGGAACUGCGCGGGAAACUGUAGGGCUUGAGUUCGGGAGAGGGAAGCGGAAUUCCGGGUGUAGCGGUGAAAUGCGUAGAUAUCCGGAGGAACACCGGUGGCGAAGGCGGCUUCCUGGACCGACACUGACGCUGAGGCGCGAAAGCUAGGGGAGCAAACGGG